UAUUGUUGUGAUAGUAAUUCUGCUAAGUAUGAGAGGAAUAGAGGUUCAGACAUUUGAUUCAACGACUUGACCGAUCGGUCAAUGGUUCGAAGAUAGCGCCUGGGAGAUUAAGACUGAGCGCCUCUAAGUCAGAAACCCACCUAGUCAAGGUGACGAUAAUCGUUUCCCGGUGUCGGCAGGCAACCACAUCUCAUGACAUAUAUAUGACAUCAAUGUUCACGCCCUAGUAUAUAGCUUUGACUAUAUGAAGAGUAAGUGCUGGUUGCCAAAGCCAGAGCACUCUGGUUCAAAGUCGGGGGCGCAAAAUCACAUGUAUAUGACGUGUAUACUGGUCACGGUAUUGAAUCCUGUACAGCAGUGAGAUUUUCCGGGCUUUCCAUCAUAA
rnacentral:ncRNA from 1 species